GACGAACGCUGGCGGCGCGCCUAACACAUGCAAGUCGAACGGAGUUUCCCCUUCGGGGGGAGCUUAGUGGCGGACGGGUGAGUAACACGUGAGGAACCUGCCUUUGAGAGCGGGAUACCGUCUGGAAACGGACGUUAAUACCGCAUAAUGCAGCGAGGCCACAUGGCCAUGCUGCCAAAGAUUUAUCGCUCAAAGAUGGCCUCGCGCCUGAUUAGAUAGUUGGCGGGGUAACGGCCCACCAAGUCUGCGAUCAGUAGCCGGACUGAGAGGUCGAACGGCCACAUUGGGACUGAGAUACGGCCCAGACUCCUACGGGAGGCAGCAGUGGGGGAUAUUGCACAAUGGGCGAAAGCCUGAUGCAGCGACGCCGCGUGAGGGAAGACGGUUUUCGGAUUGUAAACCUCUGUCUUCGGGGACGAAACAAGACGGUACCCGAGGAGGAAGCCACGGCUAACUACGUG
rnacentral:rRNA from 1 species